AAUAAUUUUUGUGUAUGUAUUCAUUCGAUGACCUUCGCUAGUCCUAGAUGUAUAAAUCCUCACCUAUAUUUUUAUCGUAAAGGAUUUCUUCUUUUCGUUUUAUACAUUUUCUAUUGCGCUCGUAUCUAUUUCUAUUAUCAAACACCCUUAUACCUAACCAGGUAUGUGGGAUGUUACAACUUGGUAUCAGAGCAUAAUCCUCGAAAAAUC
rnacentral:lncRNA from 1 species